CAGUUGGAUACAUGUGGACGACAAGAUAGUAAACCUGUAAAUUAUAACUCAAGUUGUGGCCAGCUUCAUUGUAAACAAACUUUAGUUUUCAAGUACGUAUAGAGUCAUCAGUUGUUGAGCCAUCUACAUGUAAACUUAGAACUCUUUUAGUAAUAAGCGUUUCAUCCCUCUUCUUCACAUGACCAUACCAAGAAAAACGAUUUCCUUUCAAUUUUGCUCUAUCAUUGGAUAAUAAUGUUCUAGUUAUGAAUAAAAAGCAUGAAUAUUACUAUCAAGUAAAUUCUAUUGCAUGUCCACUUUAUAAUUUAUUUUAGCAUCUUCUUACUAUAAUAUUAAAUCUAUUUCAGGUUCAAGGACAAAUGCGUGUCAGUAACAUGGAUAAAUGCUACUUCAUAUGUUUUAUUUCAGUCAAUGAACCUUUGACUGUUUUAGAAGUUUGUCGAGAUAAUAUAAUGACUUUAUCAGCAAUAUGAUGCCAAAGUUAAUACACUUUUUUAAAGAAUGUAUUCUGCCAGAAAUAGUUUUGAGACAUGUUCAAAAAAUGCGAAAUGUAUACCUAGGUAUGAAAGCUGUGUAGCGGUAGUUUCCAGGCAAUAAUGAGGAAGGAUGAGCGAAAACAACACGACAAAUGUUUUUUUAUUGUACUAUUAUAGAAGUGUGUUUAGAAUCUACAUUAUCAAUGUUUACAGUGAUGUUUUUUAUGAUGUCAGAAAACUGAAAUGGUGUACUCGUCGUAAUGAACAUAAUGUUCAUAAUGUGAUAUGAAUACAUUGACCUAUUUUAAGGUUUCUGAAAAACAAAAAGGAAAGUUGUUGCUUUUUUAUUUCCUUAUGUAGUAUAGUGAUUAUGGAUGCUUAGAUAUUCUCAAACAUUUUUCCGCUUUGAUUGCAAUCUAUUAUUCUGGUUGCCUUGUUUAUGAAUUAUAGUUUUGAAUUAUUAUUUUGAAUGAGAUUAUUUUUUAAUAAUCAGUCACGUAUCAAGCAUUCAUGUCACAUAAAUACUUGUAAUAAUUGCAGGUUAGUAUAUACAUUCUAUUAAAUAAUGUAUAAGAUAAUAAAAUAAAACUGUCUUACAUUGCA